GACGAACGCUGGCGGCGUGCUUAACACAUGCAAGUCGAACGGAAAGGCCCGGCUUUUGUGGGGUGCUCGAGUGGCGAACGGGUGAGUAACACGUGAGUAACCUGCCCUUGACUUUGUGAUAACUUCAGGAAACUCGGGCUAAUACAGGAUAGGAUCUCCUGCUGCAUGGUGGGGGUUGGAAAGUUUCGGCGGUUGGGGAUGGACUCGCGGCUUAUCAGCUUGUUGGUGGGGUAGUGGAUUACCAAGGCUUUGACGGGUAGCCGGCCUGAGCGGGUGACCGGCCACAUUGGGACUGAGAUACGGCCCAGACUCCUACGGGAGGCAGCAGUGGGGAAUAUUGCACAAUGGGCGGAAGCGUGAUGCAGCAACGCCGCGUGCGGGAUGACGUCCUUCGGGUUGUAAACCGCUGUCGCCUGUGACGAAGCGUGAGUGACGGUAAUGGGUAAAGAAGCACCGGCUAACUACGUG
rnacentral:rRNA from 1 species